rnacentral:rRNA from 2 species
UCAGGUAGGAAUACCCGCUGAACUUAAGCAUAUCAAUAAGCGGAGGAA